rnacentral:tRNA from 2 species
UCCUGGUUAGCUCAGUUGGUAGAGCACUCUGCUGGAAAUGGAGGGGUCCCUGGUUCGAUACCAAAACCAGGCA